rnacentral:lncRNA from 1 species
AGGUCUUGAAAGGGAGGCCACCCGCCCACCCCUCCACCCGUUCCGCGGCCGGGCUUUAUCCGGCUCUUGGUGUCAUUGGCCCGCGUAAACCAGAGCGCCGACGAUUUCUCCCAGAGCGUGGCUGGGGGGUGUUGAAUUGUUAGCUUACCUCCCUCCCACGCGGGAACGUAUUGCUUUCCUUCAAAGGCAUCCUUCAUUAGGCUCUUUGGCAACGUGUGUGUUUAAAAUGGAAUCAUUUGAAUGCAUUAAAAGCCAAACGAACCAGGGACGAGAACAGGAGGAGUUUAACUUCGGCACAAGUUGCCGAGAAUGGCAAACCGGCUGCCCCUCCACCCCCAAGCAAGCGGACUGACACCCGGAGCUGGGAAGGAGAUCUCCCGGGGGCAAAGCUGGGACCGAUUCGGGGCAGAGGCCUUACCUUCCGGCUCCUGAAAUGGAAACGGGCCUUGCUGCCUCUGUGCCAUUUAAAGGGCCCGGAGAGGACCCCCCCCACCCCCACCCCCAGGGUAGGACCAGCGUCUUCUUGAGAGAAGGGAGGCUGUUCUGGAAAGGCCAGAGCCCGGGGGGGGGGCGCCAGAAGGAAGGUCAAGGCCAAAGGGACAUCCCUCCCCAGCUUGGGCCCUGACUCCUCGCUGAGGGACGCCUGGCCUCAGGACAACCCGGUUCGGAUGUUCAGGUCUUGGGCAGAGGCUGCCUUGGGAGGGGGCUAGAUGGGCCUGUGGAAGAAGUGGAAGGCCCUUCCUUCAGCGUCCCCGUUGAGUUCUUGCUUAGAUUGCUUUUAGAAGGACCCGAAGACUCAGCUCUCCAAACUGGCUCUUUUGAGGUUUACUGGCUUUAAUAGUUCAGUUUGUUUUGAGGGUUGCUCACUGCCUCUUAGUGGAAAGUUAUGAUUAACAUGCAUUAAAACUAGGUUUUUAGAACAUCAGGGACCUGUAUUUUCCCCUUUCUAGAUCAGAGGAGCCCUCUGUUCUCCCCCCCUUUGCCCCCCCCCCGUAUCACCUGGGACCCUCUGAGCGCCCAAAGAGAGGCUGGGAGGAAAAGCGGCUCUCUGGAGGGGGCCUCCUCUGCCCAAGAGGGCUAAUUUGGAUCAACCCUCUGGUCCUGCAGGGCGCCCCGGAUGGAGGCUUCCCUGGCUACCUCACCAGCACCCAGGACAAGAUCCGGAGCGGUGGCAGAUCAACACCUGCUGUCCAUGGCCACUCAGCGCCCUUCGAGUACGGCAGCAGCAUCCGGCGGGCAGAAAGCAGGGUCAAGCUCAACUCUGCCAACUUCACUGCCUCCCAAGGGCCAGGUCUGGACACAGACUUUGGAGCUAGCGCCGGUGUCUCGGUGAGAAUCUUGUCCUCCGACAGCGAGGAAAGCCCCCAAACCCCCCUGUUGCAUCGCCAGCGGUCGGGACGACUGGAGUGGGACUACUAUGACCCCAGCUACCAGACAGCAGCUCCGCUCCACCAUCAGCUGCCCCCCAUCGGCAGCAAACAAUACUGGCUGUAGCACAAGGGCAGCCACGGUCUGAGGGGUGGUGGCGAGAG